rnacentral:rRNA from 1 species
UACGGAGGAUGCAAGCGUUAUCCGGAUUCAUUGGGUUUAAAGGGUGCGUAGGCUGGCCAAUAAGUCAGAGGUGAAAAGCAUAGGCUUAACUUAUGCACUGCCUUUGAUACUGAUUACCUUGAGUUUAGAUGAUGUGGGCGGAAUGUGUCAUGUAGCGGUGAAAUGCAUAGAUAUGCUACAGAACACCGAUAGCGAAGGCAGCUCACUAAGUUAUAACUGACGCUCAUGCACGAAAGCGUGGGGAUAAAAC